GACGAACGCUGGCGGCGUGCCUAACACAUGCAAGUCGAACGAUGAAAUUAUGACGGAGGCUUCGGCCAACUGAAUGAUGGAUUAGUGGCGGACGGGUGAGUAACGCGUGAGUAACCUGCCUUUCAGAGGGGAAUAACAUUUGGAAACGAAUGGUAAUACCGCAUAACGUCACGGGAUCGCAUGGUCCUGUGACCAAAGGAGCAAUCCGCUGAAAGAUGGACUCGCGUCCGAUUAGCUAGUUGGAGAGGUAACGGCUCCCCAAGGCGACGAUCGGUAGCCGGACUGAGAGGUUGAACGGCCACAUUGGGACUGAGACACGGCCCAGACUCCUACGGGAGGCAGCAGUGGGGAAUAUUGCACAAUGGGGGAAACCCUGAUGCAGCAACGCCGCGUGAAGGAAGACGGUCUUCGGAUUGUAAACUUUUGUUCUUAGUGAAGAAAAAUGACGGUAGCUAAGGAGAAAGCCACGGCUAACUACGUG
rnacentral:rRNA from 1 species